AACGUAGGAGGCAAGCGUUAUCCGGAGUUACUGGGCGUAAAGCGCAUGUAGGCGGUUGGGUAAGUGGCGUGUGAAAGCUCCCGGCUAAACUGGGAGAGGACAGGUCAGACUGCCGAACUGGAGUCCGAUAGAGGAGCGUAGAAUUCCGGGUGUAGCGGUGAAAUGUGUAGAGAUCCGGAGGAAUACCAGUGGCGCAAGCGGCGCUCUGGGUCGGAACUGACGCUGAUAUGCGAAAGCGUGGGGAGCGAACGGG
rnacentral:rRNA from 1 species